rnacentral:misc_RNA from 1 species
GAUGAAGAAACGUAGUGAAAUGCGAUAAGUAAUGUGAAUUGCAGAAUUCAGUGAAUCAUCGAAUCUUUGAACGCACAUUGCGCCCGCCAGUAUUCUGGCGGGCAUGCCUGUCCGAGCGUCAUUUCAACCCUCGAACCCCUCCGGGGGGUCGGCGUUGGGGAUCGGCCCUUUACGGGGCCGGCCCCGAAAUACAGUGGCGGUCUCGCCGCAGCCUCUCCUGCGCAGUAGUUUGCACACUCGCAUCGGGAGCGCGGCGCGUCCACAGCCGUUAAACACCCCAAACUUCUGAAAUGUUGACCUCGGAUCAGGUAGGAAUACCCGCUGAACUUAAGCAUAUCAAUAAGCGGAGGA